CACGUAGGGGGCGAGCGUUGUCCGGAUUUAUUGGGCGUAAAGAGCUCGUAGGCGGUUCGGCAAGUCGGGUGUGAAAUUUCGAGGCUCAACCUCGAAACGCCACUCGAUACUGCUGUGACUGGAGUCCGGUAGAGGAGUGCGGAAUUCCUGGUGUAGCGGUGAAAUGCGUAGAUAUCGGGAGGAACAUCGAUGGCGAAGGCAAUCACCUGGGCCUGAACUGACACUGUGACACGAAAGCGUGGGUAGCAAACAGG
rnacentral:rRNA from 1 species